GAUUUGUUAGGUGUAAAAUAUCUUCAAUCAAUUAGACACUCUUCUAAUCAAUUGGCUAAGUCUUGUAGAAUUUUUUUUUUUUGUGAUUUAAAUAAAAUGAGAGGUUUUUCAUUUUUUUAGUGUGUUUGUGAUUUAUCCAUAGUAUUCCUAGAAAUACCCUUGUGUCUUUACAAGACACUGGUCACUCACACAGACACGACUAUACGAACUUUC
rnacentral:lncRNA from 1 species